GAUGAACGCUGGCGGCGUGCCUAAUACAUGCAAGUCGAGCGAACGGACGAGAAGCUUGCUUCUCUGAUGUUAGCGGCGGACGGGUGAGUAACACGUGGAUAACCUACCUAUAAGACUGGGAUAACUUCGGGAAACCGGAGCUAAUACCGGAUAAUAUUUUGAACCGCAUGGUUCAAAAGUGAAAGACGGUCUUGCUGUCACUUAUAGAUGGAUCCGCGCUGCAUUAGCUAGUUGGUAAGGUAACGGCUUACCAAGGCAACGAUGCAUAGCCGACCUGAGAGGGUGAUCGGCCACACUGGAACUGAGACACGGUCCAGACUCCUACGGGAGGCAGCGGUAGGGAAUCUUCCGCAAUGGGAGAAAGCCUGACGGAGCAAAGCCGCGUGAGUGAUGAAGUUCUUCGGAUCGUAAAACUCUGUUAUUAGGGAAGAACAUAUGUGUAAGUAACUGUGCACAUCUUGACGGUACCUAAUCAGAAAGCCACGGCUAACUACGUG
rnacentral:rRNA from 1 species